UACGUAGGGGGCAAGCGUUGUCCGGAAUCAUUGGGCGUAAAGCGCGUGUAGGCGGUUCGAUAAGUCUGCUGUGAAAGUCCAGGGCUCAACCCUGGAAAGCCGGUGGAUACUGUCGGACUAGAGUGCAGAAGAGGCGAGUGGAAUUCCCGGUGUAGCGGUGAAAUGCGCAGAUAUCGGGAGGAACACCAAUUGCGAAGGCAGCUCGCUGGGACGUUACUGACGCUGAGACGCGAAAGCGUGGGGAGCAAACAGG
rnacentral:rRNA from 1 species